rnacentral:rRNA from 1 species
UACGUAGGGUGCGAGCGUUACUCGGAAUUACUGGGCGUAAAGCGUGCGUAGGCGGUUCGCUGUGUCCGAUGUGAAAGCCCCGGGCUUAACCUGGGAAUGGCAUUGGAAACUGGCGGGCUUGAGUGCGGCAGAGGGGGGUGGAAUUCCGCGUGUAGCAGUGAAAUGCGUAGAGAUGCGGAGGAACACCGAUGGCGAAGGCAGCCCCCUGGGUCGACACUGACGCUCAGGCACGAAAGCGUGGGGAGCAAACAGG